rnacentral:rRNA from 1 species
CGGACGGGUGAGUAAUGUCUGGGAAACUGCCCGAUGGAGGGGGAUAACUACUGGAAACGGUAGCUAAUACCGCAUAACGCGCAAGACCAAAGAGGGGGACCUUAGGGCCUCUUGCCAUCGGAUGUGCCCAGAUGGGAUUAGCUAGUAGGUGGGGUAACGGCUCACCUAGGCGACGAUCCCUAGCUGGUCUGAGAGGAUGACCAGCCACACUGGAACUGAGACACGGUCCAG